rnacentral:rRNA from 1 species
GACGAACGCUGGCGGCGUGCCUAAUACAUGCAAGUAGAACGCAGUUGCGAACGGGUGAGUAACGCGUAGGUAACCUGCCUCAUAGCGGGGGAUAACUAUUGGAAACGAUAGCUAAUACCGCAUACUGUGAGAUGGACCUGCGUUGUAUUAGCUAGUUGGUGAGGUAAAGGCUCACCAAGGCGACGAUACAUAGCCGACCUGAGAGGGUGUUGGGCCACUCUGGAGCUGAGACACGGUCCAGACUCCUACGGGAGGCAGCAGUGGAGAAUAUUGCAACAUGGGCGCGAGCCUGAUGCAGCCCUGCCGCGAGUAUGAAGGAGGCCUUCGGGUUGUAAAGUACUUUCAGCGGGGAGGCGUUACCAGCAAAAAAAGCACCGGCUAACUCCGUGCCAGCAGCCGCGUAAUUC